GGGAAGGAAACGGAAAAAAGAACAGGAGGAAUCGAAAGUCAAAGACAGAGCUGCACUUGAGAAAUACCUCAAAAAGCCCCCAGUUGCUGGAGAAGGAACAUCUGAUCUCCCAUGUACAUCACACUCUGAAGAAUGUGAAGGAAUAACGAGCACAGUAUGUGAGUCCACCAUUGCAGCCCCCUCAGAUCCUGCUGACUGCCCAGGCCCAUCUGAGUCCACCAUUGCAGUCCCCUCAGAUCCUGCUGACUGCCCAGGCCCAUCUGAGUCCAACAUUGCAGUCCCCUCAGA